GUUCUCAGGCAGCUGGGUUGCAGUUUCCUCUGGAAUGUGGACAAACUCAGUGACUUGCUUUUGACAAAUAGGAAAAGUGAAAGUAAAGGUCUGUGGCUUUGGAGGCUAAGUCACAAAAGGUACCGUGGCUUCUUCCUUGCUCUCUCUUGGAUUACUCACUCAGGAGGAGGUUACCAUGUUUUGCAGACAGGUCCACCUUGUGAGGAGCUGAGGACUCCAGCCAACAGCCAGGAAAACUCCAGAUACCCACUACUUUUUACCUGGUCCCGUGCAGAAUGCUGUGGGUUUUAUAUUCUAACUGAAGCCACUGUACUCGCUAUGGCAGAAACUGACAAUGAAGUAAGAGACAAGUGAAACCAAGAAGAUAGGAGCUACUUGCUGGCAAAUUAGUAGAACAUAAAGGCUCAUGUUGUAUGUGCUGCAAGACCCUAACCACAACCUUUCUAUUCAGAAGACCAGCCAUGCUAAGUCAGACCGUGGCCCACACUCCAGGGGACAUGAGGGACACCACCAGAACUUCACAGACGUAUGGCAUUUGGGACACACUCUCUAGAGAAAUGUGCCUUUGAAAGAGGAACAGAGAAGGAAGAAUCCAAUGGGGCUAGAAAGCUAAAAAUUACAUUGGCUGAUUCCCUGGCAACUAGGAUUCUGGAAGCACUAAAACACCAAAUAAAUACACUCCCACACAAUUUUGAAGAUGAAAAGAGGAAAACUAUUUUUCUGCUAAUGUUUCUGCUAUGAGAGACAGUAGCUGCAGGCAAAUUCAGCAUUCCUGUCGGGACAAUGGCUUUGGGGGUACCAUACAUCAGUCCCAGCAGUGUGAUCAGCCAAUGCACCCUGAUCUCUGAUGUGUCCCAGCUACGUUGGAGACCAGUUAAGCCCAGCUGUGGGUCCCUGCCUCUUGCUCCUCCCCGUCAUCAAAUAAUUUUUGAAGUCACCAGACUGUUUGGAGGGAACAGCCUGACAGCCACAAAGUCUUGGCAAGGUCCCCAUUGACUGACAUUUCCCAAAGUCACUUUAUUCUAAUUCCCAAAGCUGUUGCCAGAGCACGUGAUAUAGUUAAAGGCGGCAUAUGCCCUGUGUGCUGCUUACAUGCUUCCGGGACGUUCCCAUGGUCAGAGGUUCACUGGCAGAUGAAAGCCUGUGAUGUAACCCAAUGCUGAGCCUGCCCACAGAUUUGUCCUCAAGACAAUUGUUUGGAAGAGCCCUAUGGAAGGAGAUUCUGGACCACCUGCCAGGCAUGUACCUGAAUAAUUAUUGAAACCAUAAAAGACCACGUACUUAUGUUGAUUGCACAGAGACGAGGAACCCAGCAGCCCACCAGGUGCUCCUUGCCAUUUGGAUGCUCUCCUGGAUACUCCUCAAACUAUGUGUCUGCCGACUCCCAGCACCGUCACUAGAAAAGGGCUCCAGACCAGGAAAUUGAGGCCAAUGAUAUCAAAGCCUGAAACUGUUGUCUUCUUUACAGUGAAGACUUGUAAAAGGCAUGGAAACAACCUCACCAGUGAACUGCAUCCUGCCAGCCUUCCAUUGAAUUGCCUUUCUGGCUUGGGAAGACUCAGCUGGUUGAAAAUUGCACAUCUUUUCAGAAACAGGCAGGGGAGCGUGCCUGCGUCUGUAGCUCUAAACUUCAAAAGUGGAGUGUCGCUGACCGACCUAUUCUGUGCUCACGGAGAGAUGUCUUGCGACCUGGAUUACAUACUCUGCUGCCUGAGGAAUGGGUGGGGUCAGUCUGAGCCCCCGAAGCACCCACAGAGCCCAGCUCUGUGCCUGGCAUGUGUUAGAAACCCAGUAUUUGCUGAAUAAGACACAGUAACUCAAAGCCAAAGACCUCAGUCAUCAUGCACUGCUUGCUCCACUUCUAGAUUUUUGUGGAAGCCCAGAGUCUCAGUCCUACCAUGUGUAAAAUGGGGAUAGUACUACCAGCCCCACUUACGUCACAGCAUUAGUGUUAAGAUCAAAUGAGAUCGUGUUGUGAGUUUGUUCUAGCAAGCAGGUAAAUUGUUUUUAUAAUGAUCUGAA